UCCAGAGUUUGAUCAUGGCUCAGAUUGAACGCUGGCGGCAGGCCUAACACAUGCAAGUCGAGCGGUAGCACAGAGAGCUUGCUCUCGGGUGACGAGCGGCGGACGGGUGAGUAAUGUCUGGGAAACUGCCUGAUGGAGGGGGAUAACUACUGGAAACGGUAGCUAAUACCGCAUAACGUCGCAAGACCAAAGUGGGGGACCUUCGGGCCUCAUGCCAUCAGAUGUGCCCAGAUGGGAUUAGCUAGUAGGUGGGGUAACGGCUCACCUAGGCGACGAUCCCUAGCUGGUCUGAGAGGAUGACCAGCCACACUGGAACUGAGACACGGUCCAGACUCCUACGGGAGGCAGCAGUGGGGAAUAUUGCACAAUGGGCGCAAGCCUGAUGCAGCCAUGCCGCGUGUGUGAAGAAGGCCUUCGGGUUGUAAAGCACUUUCAGCGGGGAGGAAGGCGUUAAGGUUAAUAACCUUGGCGAUUGACGUUACCCGCAGAAGAAGCACCGGCUAACUCCGUGCCAGCAGCCGCGGUAAUACGGAGGGUGCAAGCGUUAAUCGGAAUUACUGGGCGUAAAGCGCACGCAGGCGGUCUGUCAAGUCGGAUGUGAAAUCCCCGGGCUCAACCUGGGAACUGCAUUCGAAACUGGCAGGCUAGAGUCUUGUAGAGGGGGGUAGAAUUCCAGGUGUAGCGGUGAAAUGCGUAUAGAUCUGGAGGAAUACCGGUGGCGAAGGCGGCCCCCUGGACAAAGACUGACGCUCAGGUGCGAAAGCGUGGGGAGCAAACAGGAUUAGAUACCCUGGUAGUCCACGCCGUAAACGAUGUCGAUUUGGAGGUUGUGCCCUUGAGGCGUGGCUUCCGGAGCUAACGCGUUAAGAUCGACCGCCUGGGGAGUACGGCCGCAAGGUUAAAACUCAAAUGAAUUGACGGGGGCCCGCACAAGCGGUGGAGCAUGUGGUUUAAUUCGAUGCAACGCGAAGAACCUUACCUGGUCUUGACAUCCACAGAACUUWCCAGAGAUGSWUUGGUGCCUUCGGGAACUGUGAGACAGGUGCUGCAUGGCUGUCGUCAGCUCGUGUUGUGAAAUGUUGGGUUAAGUCCCGCAACGAGCGCAACCCUUAUCCUUUGUUGCCAGCGGUYMGGCCGGGAACUCAAAGGAGACUGCCAGUGAUAAACUGGAGGAAGGUGGGGAUGACGUCAAGUCAUCAUGGCCCUUACGACCAGGGCUACACACGUGCUACAAUGGCAUAUACAAAGAGAAGCGACCUCGCGAGAGCAAGCGGACCUCAUAAAGUAUGUCGUAGUCCGGAUUGGAGUCUGCAACUCGACUCCAUGAAGUCGGAAUCGCUAGUAAUCGUAGAUCAGAAUGCUACGGUGAAUACGUUCCCGGGCCUUGUACACACCGCCCGUCACACCAUGGGAGUGGGUUGCAAAAGAAGUAGGUAGCUUAACCUUCGGGAGGGCGCUGUACCACUUUGUGAUUCAUGACUGGGGUGAAGUCGUAACAGGGUAACCAUAUGGGAACCUGCUGCUGGAUC
rnacentral:rRNA from 1 species